GAAGGAAGUGAGAGGUCACAUGGGAGAAGUGAAUGGAGACUUGGGAGGGGUGAGUGAGGACAGGAAGGUGACCUUCAGUGCUGUUCUGCAGCAGACAGGGAUGUGUUCCCUGACUGAAGAGGAAAGUUGGAGCUGGAGGUCCUGAACAAUGCCUUCCUGUUAGUGAGCAUGAGCCAACAGACUUCUUCAAUUAUGAUUUGGAUUCAUGUGUAAACUUGGGGUGAACUUUUGACCAUGUGAUCAUGUAUUUGGAAAGACAUAUAAAUGCUGAGGACAAAGAGAGAAGAAGAGGGAGGAGGAGGAAGAGGAGGAGAAGAAAGAGAAGAGGAAGAAGAGGAAGAGGAGGAAGAGGAGGAAGAGAAAGAGGAGGAAGAGGAAGAUGAAGGAAGAGGAGGGUCAGACAUUUUUGGGGAAGAACUUAGACAUAAAGAUUAAAAU